rnacentral:rRNA from 1 species
GAUGAACGCUGGCGGCGUGCCUAAUACAUGCAAGUCGAGCGAACAGACGAGGAGCUUGCUCCUCUGACGUUAGCGGCGGACGGGUGAGUAACACGUGGAUAACCUACCUAUAAGACCGGGAUAACUUCGGGAAACCGGAGCUAAUACCGGAUAAUAUAUUGAACCGCAUGGUUCAAUAGUGAAAGACGGUUUUGCUGUCACUUAUAGAUGGAUCCGCGCCGCAUUAGCUAGUUGGUAAGGUAACGGCUUACCAAGGCAACGAUGCGUAGCCGACCUGAGAGGGUGAUCGGCCACACGGGAACUGAGACACGGUCCAGACUCCUACGGGAGGCAGCAGUAGGGAAUCUUCCGCAAUGGGCGAAAGCCUGACGGAGCAACGCCGCGUGAGUGAUGAAGGUCUUCGGAUCGUAAAACUCUGUUAUUAGGGAAGAACAAAUGUGUAAGUAACUAUGCACGUCUUGACGGUACCUAAUCAGAAAGCCACGGCUAACUACGUG